rnacentral:rRNA from 1 species
CAGCAGCGCGGGAAUACGUAGGUGGCAAGCGUUGUCCGGAAUUAUUGGGCGUAAAGGGCUCGCAGGCGGUUUCUUAAGUCUGAUGUGAAAGCCCCCGGCUCAACCGGGGAGGGUCAUUGGAAACUGGGAAACUUGAGUGCAGAAGAGGAGAGUGGAAUUCCACGUGUAGCGGUGAAAUGCGUAGAGAUGUGGAGGAACACCGGUGGCGAAGGCGACUCUCUGGUCUGUAACUGACGCUGAGGUGCGAAAGCGUGGGGAGCAAACAGGAUUAGAUACCCCAGUAGUCCCUGUCUCUUAUACA